GGGGCUGGGGCUCAGUGGUGGAGCACUUGCCUUGCACGUGUGAGGCCCUGGGUUCAAUCCUCAGCAUCACCU
rnacentral:tRNA from 1 species